rnacentral:miRNA from 14 species
AGUCACAAAUAUCGUGAUGGCA